rnacentral:lncRNA from 1 species
UUCAAAUACACUUGACCACCACCUUGUACAUAGCAGUUGAUGUCAAUUUUUCGAAUACGAAAGGCCUCGUUUUUACGGUUUCGAGUUUGAAUGAGCGAAUAUUCCGAUAUAGGAUCACUUUGAGAUACAUGUAGCAAUAUUUAACCCUAAGAUAUUCCAAACAAAUUAAAUCUAUAUUUUCAAGAACAUUUAAUCAAACUUAAAUAAUAAAGCAAAUUAAACAACGACAGUAACAUACCUAAUCAAAAAGGGCCACCUCCAAUCGCCCCCAAAUUAAAGACAAACCUUACAAAUUUCUUGAAACACACACACACACAUUGCAAUAAAACAGCAGUACAAAAAUUCAGAAGACAAGUAGAUGUGAACAAUGAGAAUGUAUAUCCUUUUAAAUUCAAGAAAAUGGAGUCAGAAAAUAGUGUGUGAUUCUUGAUUUUGCUGGGAAUGUAAGGAACACUUUAUUUCUCUUACAUGUGGAACAUUUCUUCAUCUUCACACUUUACUGUGUGUCUGUUGUGUGUCUCUAGCUACUCUACAGAAUAACUUGGCUUUCAAUGGGAGUAACCAAAAAGAAAUUAGAGAGAGAGAGAGAGAGAGAGAGAGAGAGAGAGAG